AGAAAGCAGGGACUAUGAGAGGUGGACCCUCUCUAUCGGUCAGCCUCACCGGAGGAAAGGAGAAAGCAGGGACUAUGAGAGGUGGACCCUCUCUAUCGGUCAGCCUCACCGGAGGAAAGGAGAAAGCAGGGACUAUGAGAGGUGGACCCUCUCUAUUGGUCAGCCUCACCGGAGGAAAGGAGAAAGCAGGGACUAUGAGAGGUGGACCCUCUCUAUUGGUCAGCCUCACCGGAGGAAAGGAGAAAGCAGGGACUAUGAGAGGUGGACCCUCUCUAUCGGUCAGCCUCACCGGAGGAAAGGAGAAAGCAGGGACUAUGAGAGGUGGACCCUCUCUAUCGGUCAGCCUCACCGGAGGAAAGGAGAAAGCAGGGACUAUGAGAGGUGGACCCUCUCUAUCGGUCAGCCUCACCGGAGGAAAGGAGAAAGCAGGGACUAGAGGUGGACCCUCUCUAUCGGUCAGCCUCACCGGAGGAAAGGAGAAAGCAGG